AAAAAAUGUGUGGACAACAAAUAAGAAGCAACAAGCAAACACAAGUCAAUAAAGAAAUACAUAUCUUCUCAGAUUUGAAGAAGCAGUGGGAGAGCUACGAAAGAGCUUCGCAACAAUGCAACACCAAAAAGGAGAUUGAAACCCUAUAUUUCUCACACAUAUCUGUUUUCAAAAUGGAUAAAAUUUUGCUAUGGAUGAAAUUCAACUCAAGGAUGAAGAUUAGUAUACUAGUGGGAGUAUUGGGAGAAUUAUACUAUAUAGUACAUGAGUUGCUUGUAUAGAAUACUAUCUACUUUGUAUUGACCUUACACCAAGAGUUGUGACUCUUGGUGUCACCCUUGUACACACAAUAUAUUGUGUAUCAAUUGAUCAUAUUAAUAAUAAUGUUGUUUCCAACAGAGUGCAUAUGCUCUAAUAAAAUGUAACCACAAUUCUACAUUUUUGAGUUGUUUGUGGUGAACUGGGUAACUGGCCGCUUUAAGGUACUCUGAUUGUCACAGAAGCUCGUUAUUGGAUCUGAUUCGUGACCAUGUAUAUUCGUGGACAGGGUGCAAAGCCAGAUGGAUUCGCAAAUGCCCUCCAACAGUGCCUUUGCCUUGCGUCUGUGGAGGAAACUGCCACGGUAUUUAUUCAUUUAUUUUUGAUGACCAUGAAAUUGGGCCUCCUGCAGACUUAAAUACCCAAUCCGUUAUCGACUUCCUGUCAAUGCGGUAGUUAUCCCAAUCUGAAUCUGUGUGUCCGAUGCUGGUGGGACUUUCAUGAUUUUUGUAGUAGAUGCCGAAUUCUAACGCCCCUUUGAUAUACCGGAGUACGUGGUUAGCAGCUUUCAAGUGUGGAACCCGAGGGCUUUGCAUGAAGCGACUCAUAACACCGGUUACGAAAAAGAUUUUCGGUUUUGUGGUAACUAGGGUCAGCAGGCUCAGUCGUGACUCCAAAGAAGCAAUCAAGUUCUAUUGGAGUGAUAAACUCGACAAGGUUCGCGGUCGAGAAACAAUCUGAAGGAGUCGCUGUUUGACAUAAGUACGUGACACUGUCGCGCAAUCAGGUGGAUGGUUGUCGAGUUCAAGAGAAUUGAAUUCUGAAUUGAGUCUCUUAUGAAUGAGUGGUUUCUGAGUCUAGAAUCCCAAGGUCGGAAUCACUUGGGUUAGGGGCCAACAGAGGUUCGACUUCGUGUUCAUGUUGAGUGCACUAGGGUAUGGUCCAGAUUCAUGUCCAUCCGCAAUCUCAAGCGUAACGGGAGGGUUUGUUGACGGAUUUUCCAAGUUCUGAAGUAGAGAAGACUCAUCAAAGCAAACGUUCCCAGAAUAUAAUGAGUAAAUGAUCGCUCGGAAUCCAUACCCGGUAUCUCUUUGUCUUGUCAUCGUAGCCAAAAAACAGUCCCGGUUUGGCUUUAGAUUCAAGUUUGUUUUUAUCCUUAUUGCAUAUCUAUUCGUAAAGUCGAGAUCCAUAGAUCGGAGAAAAAAAAAUUCAGCUUUUUCCUAAAGAGGUGUUGGAAAUGAGUUACCUGGGAGGGAUUGACAAUGGCCGAUAAGCGAUUUAUGAGGAACGCGGCUGUAUUGACAGCUUUGGUCCACAAGAAACGCGGGGUUGCUGCUUGUAGGACCAUGCACCUUGCUGUUUCGAGAAGUUUUCUAUUAGCGUGCUCAACAACUCCGUUCUGUUGGGGAGUCGCAGAAUUCGUAAAUUGCCGCCACAUUCCAGUAAUUUCGCAGUAGUUGUUGAACUCAGUAGAUGUGAAUUUGCCGCCACAGUCACUUCAAAGAGUAUGGAUAGUGUGGUUGAGUUUUAAUUCGACCAUAGUUUUGAAAGUUUUGAAAUUCUAAAGUGUGGUAGACUUUUUUUGUAAAAAUCGCACCUUUAUAUAGUGGCUAUAAUUGUCGACGAUUACAAAUAUAUACACGGAGCCCCGUAACGCAGGUGUAGACAUUGGCCCGCAUAAAUCCAGAUGAAAAAGUUUGAGUGGUUUUGAAGCCCGACAUUUGCUGUGUUGAAGGAAUGAUUCUCUGGAUUGUUUCUUAGAUUGGCAUCCGGGACAUACUUCACUGUGGAUCGGCAUGUAGGAAAACCCAAAAGCCAUAUGUUUUGCGGUGAGUGUGUGUAGUCCAUCAUAUCCAAUAUGGCCUAAUCGGAGGUGCUAGAGGCAAACAAUAUUGAUAUUGGCUUAUGCAAGUCUCGUUGUGACAUAAAGAUUGCGGGCUUGUAGUUGAUAGAGGUCGUUCCGUUUGUUGCGAAUGCCCUUGACUGUGAUCUAUUUAUGGUUUUUACUAUACAGUAUACAUUGGUGAUCGUCAAAACAAGCUACAAUUCCUCUGUCAGUAAAGGAGCCAAUCAAGAGCAAGUUCUUCUUCUGUCCGGGCACGUACAAAACUCCAUGAACAUCCUCUAUUUCCCCAGAUGGUAAAGAAAAAUGGACAUUACUUCUACCAGAAAUUGGGUGGAUUUGACCGCCCACAAUCUUAAUGUUGCCACUGUACUCAUCUAAGGUAGAGAAGUUGCUACGGUUGCCACUUAAGUGUUGAGUUGCACCUAAAUCCAGGUACCAACCUGAGUCGGGGCUGCUCACAUCAAGGGAGAAAAGUGCGGCUUCGAACAUGUCAUAAUUUCCAUCAUCUGAAUCAAGAAUUUCUGUGACUAUACAAUUGUCGAGUUCAAGCCAGUUCCACUCACCCUGAACUGCGUUGGCGGAGAGACAUAUGCCGAGCUUUGAUCUCCUGUAAGCCUCAAGUUUUUAUAUGUUAGCAAGCCGCUCCAGACCCGUCUUUAGGGUGUCUCUAUUGCCGGCAAUCGAAGCAUUUAAUGCUUCGGUUCUUGAGUCCGUUGCUUGUUCCUCGGAAGCGACCGUGGUUGCGAAAAUGUUGUUGUUGAUUUGGGCGGUGGUCAUGAGAGAAGUGUGUAUUGGAUUGAGGCUAUUGAGCGCCUCAAAAGUAAAGGACUUUGGUAUCGAUAUUUGGUACAAGAAGAGAUUGUUUACUUCCAAAUUUGGACUGUCUUCUGUUCUUUUCGAGCAUGAGGGGGGCCUGUAACUGAUCCAAUGUUGAGAAUUUUCCAGAACUAGUGUAAUUUUGCGGCUAGUAGUCAAAUGUGUUGGGCAAGGAUUUCAUUACAAUCUUUGCAAGAUCUGAAUCGUCAAUUUUUACUCCAAUGGCUGUCAACUGAGCCAACGUCUGCUUGAACUGUGAGAAGUAUACUUAUACGCCUGAGACUUUGGAGAAAGAGAUUAGGGCCAAGCAGUUUUUGAGGUCGAACUUGCGACUAUCAUUGUUGACCUCGAAGGACCUGCACAAAGAGUUCCACAGGGGUUUCGAUUCUUGACACCCAGUGAGUUGCAACAACAGAGUGGGCUUGAUGGACAAAGUUAUAAUGUACAUUAGUUGUUCCAUGUUAUCCUCAUCAUGUUCUUCUCUCUUCAAAUUCCAUGCUUGUCCACAAAAUAUAUACUAAAGUUUUUUUUUUUUUUGUUUUUUUUUUGCUAUACAAGUAAUCAGAUACUUUCAGAUAUAGAAGUUAAAAGAGCCUAAUAACUUGACGUCCUUUUGUACUAAACUACCCUUAGAUAUGAUGAUUCAUGUGAAAGAUAAUGAUUUUAAGUGAGUAGAGAUAGGUAAUGUUUUGAUGGAGCUUAAUACUACAAGUAUUGGAGUAGCUUAGUAACUUGACAUCUUUUUAUACUAAACUAUCCUUGGACAUGAUGAUUCACGUGAAAAGUAAUGCUUUUAAGUGAGUGGAAAUAGGAAAUAUUUUGAAAGAGCUGAAUACUACAAGUAUUGGAGAAUAGAAAGAGAUGGAAUAAUAGCGAGUUUGCAACCUUGUUCUAAUACCAUAUCAAGAAGCAUUGUCUAUAGUAUGAAGAAGUAAUCGGAGACAUCAUAUACAUAUCUUUAUAAUCCACUUUAGAUAUGUAUGUUAGACAUGUGCUUGGUCUUACACUGUAUGACUAAGAUUAAUAAAUGAAAAUGUUUACAGAGUUA